GUAAGGGGGAAAAAUUCAUCACUUAUGGAAGAAGUUGACAACACAAGAAAAUGGUAGCGGUAACCGUGAAAUUGGUACUAGGGUUUUAAAAGGGUUCCCCUCUCCAGUCGCGAAGAAUCGUCAACACGGAACAAGAAAUGGGAAAUUGGAGGAAAAGGGUUUGCGAUUAAAGAACAAAGUCGAUUCCUUGGAAGAAAAACAGCGCAAUAACAGAAUGGAGGAGGAGCAAAGGGUUUCACAAGUCGAAGUGGCGAAGCAGAGAUGCAAGUGCGUCAUUGAUGCCAUUGACAAGUUACCUUGUUCCACCAACAUCACUCACUCGUGUAAACGAACCCUCCUCAAAUUGGCACGUGCCGAGCUCGCUUUCCUCUCUCGCCCCUCAUCUUCUUAUGGGCCCCUCAGUGUGAACAUUGGGCACCUUGAAACAGUUGUCCAUAUUCUCCAGCAGUCUUUCAUAACUGGAGUUUCUCGAGUUUGCAAGUCAAUCCCACUCUCACCUUCUGUUAGCAAUGAAGAAAGACGUGGUUCUUCUCUUAAACACAUUCAUGUUGAUGUGGUUUGUACCCUAAAUAGAAAGCCUGUCUGGAUUAUAGUAUCUGAUAGAAAUCCAGAGUAUAUUUCUUGGGAUAGAUGCCGUAAAAGUAAGGGUUUAAAGGUACGCAUUCAAGAAGUACUUGCUGCUGCGCAGUCUAACUUAACAUUAAGACCUUCAUCAGUCAUUCUUUUCUUUGCCAAUGGGCUUGCAACCCACAUUUACAACAAACUUCGAGAUGAACUUGGAGCAUCUGAAAUCGAGUUGGAUUUCUCAGUUUUCAGUUCUGACGUGUUGGAAGAAACUGAAGGUGACUGGAUAAAUGUCAUUGCAAGAUCAUAUAGAAAUUCAUGUGUCCUUGAAAUCAACCUUGCUGUUGGCAAGGAUGUUGUUCCAAAUUCUGGGUGUAUUAUUCAAGGAUCGGCUGUGGACUCUUCCCAAAUAGAUCUUUCAGUAGGAAAAGCCGAAACUCAACAACAAAAAUUGGAAGAAAAUGCCAGAAUUGGGGACUACUCUCAUCUUGAGCUUUUGGUAGAUGAAGCCAAAACUCAAGCACAGCCUACGGAAGAGAAUGUUGGAACAAACUUGGGUGAUACGUUCUGUUCCAUUCUUAAGGGAAUGAAACCAAUUUCAAUGGAGAUUAAAAAUUUUGAAUCCGCGAAGCCUGGGAAUCUCUUAGGUGAGACUGACCUAGUAAAUUUUGAUACAACAGCUUUGAUAGCUCUUGUUUCAGGGAUUAGUAAUGGUGGAACAAAGAAACUUCUUGCCACUCCUGAGAGUGAAAUGAGGCAGCGGUUUAAGGGAAACUUCGAUUUUGUGAUUGGUCAAAUAAUGUCUGAACUUCAAAACCCAAUCCAUUUGGAAUUUGGUAGAAUCCUAGAUGGAAAGCAUGGCCUAAUUUGUGAGAGUGUUCUUGUGGAAUUUAAGGAGUUGGUAUCAAUGUGUGGAGGACCCAAUGAGAAACUGAGAGCUGCCAGGUUGAUAGAUUAUCUCAGGGUUGUUCCUGAUACUCCCUCAGAGCGCAUGAUGGGCCUCCCAACAACAAGGAAGCUGGCAUUUAAAAACAAAAUUGUCUUUGGCACUGGUGACCAUUGGCAUGCCCCUACUUUUACUGCAAAUAUGGCAUUUGUCAGAGCAGUUUCACAGACAGGGAUGUCCCUUUCUACUAUUGAACAUAGACCAAGGGCCUUAACUGGUGAUUAGUAGCAUACAUUCCUGAAAACAAGUCUUGAGGCAUUCAUUCAGGCACCACUAAACCUGAUCACUUAUCCUCAGGCUGGCAAUUGAAUAACGGGAAGUUUUAAGGGAUUCUUCCCUAUAUAACGAUCUGGAAGACAAGAAAGCUUGUGCAAAUGUAACCUCUUUUUGGUGAUGUUGAUUAUUGCAAGCAAUCAUAUAGUAAUGGAUGAUGGUACUGCACCAGCACCAUACCAUUUUCUGAUCCUGAGGAACCUGGAACCAUCAAUGGUGAUAUCUUUGGUGGUCGUGGUGCUUCCACUCCAACAGGGUGAAUCCUAUGUCAGAUGAUCUGCCAUGGAUACAGUUUGAAUCUUGCUAUUUCAUCUUUUGUGAUGGCUACAUCCUUUGCGUUUAGUUCAAGGGUAAAGGUCUAAUCUACACUUGUUCAAGCUUUUUAGAAAGUUCAUUCUUUCUUACUCUUAAGGGAGGUAGCAAACUUGCUUAUUCAGGUGAAUCAACAUUCUUUAAAGAGAA